CAGCAGCCGCGGUAAUACGUAGGUGGCAAGCGUUGUCCGGAAUUAUUGGGCGUAAAGGGCUCGCAGGCGGUUUCUUAAGUCUGGUGUGAAAGCCCCCGGCUCAACCGGGGAGGGUCAUUGGAAACUGGGAAACUUGAGUGCAGAAGAGGAGAGUGGAAUUCCACGCGUAGCGGUGAAAUGCGUAGAGAUGUGGAGGAACACCAGUGGCGAAGGCGACUCUCUGGUCUGUAACUGACGCUGAGGAGCGAAAGCGUGGGGAGCGAACAGGAUUAGAUACCCCUGUAGUCCCUGUCUCUUAUAC
rnacentral:rRNA from 1 species